rnacentral:lncRNA from 1 species
GUAGAGGUUACGGUAGCAGAGAGUUUGAGCUCUGGUGAAUGAAUAGAAGUGUUGAAUAUGGCUUUAAUUUGGCAUCAGGGGUACUCCUGAGCAGGUGUGUCUGUGAAUCUGUUGAUUCGAAAAUGCAGAAUACCUUCGAAAAGUAAAUGAGUUGUAAUGCAGGUUUUAGAUCAAAUCCACAGUGGGCAUGCAUAUUAGAACGGGAACUGUGGUAGUUUAGACCUCAUUUCAAUGAAAUGGUCAAAAUUUAAAAAAAAAU